rnacentral:rRNA from 1 species
UACGAAGGGGGCUAGCGUUGUUCGGAUUUACUGGGCGUAAAGCGCACGUAGGCGGAUCGUUAAGUCGGGGGUGAAAUCCUGGAGCUCAACUCCAGAACUGCCUUCGAUACUGGCGAUCUUGAGUCCGGAAGAGGUGAGUGGAACUCCUAGUGUAGCGGUGAAAUGCGCAGAUAUCAGGAGGAACACCAAUGGCGAAGGCAGCUCGCUGGGACGUGACUGACGCUGAGACGCGAAAGCGUGGGGGAGCAAACAGG